rnacentral:rRNA from 1 species
UACGAAGGGGGGCUAGCGUUGCUCGGAAUCACUGGGCGUAAAGCGCACGUAGGCGGCUUUUUAAGUCAGGGGUGAAAUCCUGGGCUCAACUCCAGAACUGCCUUUGAUACUGAGAGGCUCGAGUCCGGGAGAGGUGAGUGGAACUGCGAGUGUAGAGGUGAAAUUCGUAGAUAUUCGCAAGAACACCAGUGGCGAAGGCGGCUCACUGGCCCGGUACUGACGCUGAGGUGCGAAAGCGUGGGGAGCAAACAGG